GUGCGUAACAGCUCACUAGUCGAGGAAUUUGGCGUGGAUAAUAAUCGGGUAUCAAGUUGUCUGCCGAAGCUAUGGAAUCAUUAAUGAUUGGUAGGGGAGCAUUCCAUUCAGCGUUGAAGGCGUGGCGCGAGCCACUCUGGAGCGUAUGGAAAAGCAAAUGUAGGUAUAAGUAACGAUAAAGGGGGUGGGAAACCCCCUCGCCGAAAGACUAAGGUUUCC
rnacentral:rRNA from 1 species